rnacentral:miRNA from 1 species
AGGGGUCUGGACGUGGGUGGGC